rnacentral:rRNA from 1 species
AGUGAACGCUGGCGGUAGGCCUAACACAUGCAAGUCGAACGGCAGCACAGUAAGAGCUUGCUCUUACGGGUGGCGAGUGGCGGACGGGUGAGGAAUACAUCGGAAUCUACUUUUUCGUGGGGGCUAACGUAGGGAAACUUACGCUAAUACCGCAUACGACCUACGGGUGAAAGCAGGGGAUCUUCGGACCUUGCGCGAUUGAAUGCGCCGAUGUCGGAUUAGCUAGUUGGCGGGGUAAAGGCCCACCAAGGCGACGAUCCGUAGCUGGUCUGAGAGGAUGAUCAGCCACACUGGAACUGAGACACGGUCCAGACUCCUACGGGAGGCAGCAGUGGGGAAUAUUGGACAAUGGGCGCAAGCCUGAUCCAGCCAUACCGCGUGGGUGAAGAAGGCCUUCGGGUUGUAAAGCCCUUUUGUUGGGAAAGAAAAGCAGCAGGUUAAUACCCCGCUGUUCUGACGGUACCCAAAGAAUAAGCACCGGCUAACUUCGUG